UACGAAUGGAGAGAAUAUGCUUUUUAGCAAUGUGUCUAGAUUGUGGUUUUCUACAACUCUAUUAGCAUUGUCCUUUCUUUCGAGUGUUUGUGAUGACGAUCUGACGUUAUCCUCGAGGUCGUGAGCGAGAUAGUCCUCUGCGGCGUUUCCCAGUGGGGUUUCUUGAUCGAGAGAUAUGCAGCCAAUUGUCGGUGUGGGAGUCGUUCUUGUUACGACUCUGGUUGGUGUUUUUACUUUUACGUCAAAUUGUUGAUCGUUUAGGAGCAGCAGUUGGGGACAGACUUCUGCGAUCCAUUGAUGAACGUCGACCUUCAUCAGUGAAUCUGCGCCCCUUUUGUGAUUCUGAAUCAAAUCUUCUUCCUCCUGUUCCUGAUUAUAUUGUGGAGCAAUUUCUCUGGCCGAAGUUGAAUUCUCCCGCUUCUCCGUCUCUGUUGUGGCGAUUUCGGAGGAUUAACAGAUUUUGGUAGUCAUUCGUCGCUGGAACUAUCGAAUGUCAGGCUCUUGAGAUGGUGCGGGUUGAUCGUCAUGGGUAUCUGAAAGCUGUCGCUGAUGCUGAUGCUAAAAGGGAGUCACUUACUGCUAGACUAGGGUUUGAGAUAGAACAUCUAGGUACUCUGAUUGCUGAAGAUCUGUCUAAACUGGAUUAUUGCAAUUCGCUAGGUAGUCCUAACGAGGUAGUUUAUUCUGUGUCUUAUGGUUCUCUCGAAGAGGAUCACUUAUCUUUGAUUUUUCUUUCAGCAAUGUCAAUCGAUCUUAGGAUUCCUAUGCCAUCACGAUCCUUGAGGAACUUUAUGCGCCCCAGAGCUUUAGUUAGCAAGUCUGCUAGCUGAUCAUGUGACUUAAGAUAGACUAGAUUUACCACUCCAGUUAGUACAUUCUCACGGAUGAAGUGUUGCCAAACCUCCACAUGUUUUGAUCGAGCAUGACUUACUGGAUCUUUAGCAGAUUUUAAUGAACUUUGAUUGUCACAGUAUAAUAUAAUGGUUUUGGGCUCCUUGCCUGUAAUUCGAUGA